rfam:Schistosoma mansoni, Puerto Rico, WGS project CABG01000000 data, contig: 0034
GCACUGCUGAGGAGUCCCAUAAUAGGACGAACGGGCCGUCCAGUGC